rnacentral:rRNA from 1 species
CAAACUCCGAAUGCCGAUGAGCAGUAUCCGGGAGUCAGACAGUGCGAGAUAAGUUGCAUUGUCGAGAGGGAAAGAGCCCAGAUCGCCGUCUAAGGUCCCAAAGUUCGAUCUAAGUGUCAAAGGAUGUGGGAGCGCAUUGACAACCAGGAGGUUGGCUUAGAAGCAGCCAUCUUUUAAAGAAAGCGUAAUAGCUCACUGGUCAAGCGAACCUGCGCCGAAAAUAUAACGGGGCUCAAGAUCGACACCGAAGACGCGGGCUUCUUAGGAAGCGGUAGAGGAGUACUCUGACGCAGAUACACGCUGGACGGAAACGACCGGUACCGGGCGUCAGAGGAGCUUAUGCAGGCAUGAGUAGCGAUAAACCGAGUGAGAAACUCGGUCGCCGUAAGUCCAAGGUUUCCUGGGGUAGGAUAAUCCUCCCAAGGGUGAGCCGGUCCCUAAGUCGAGGCCGCGAGGCGUAGAUGAUGGAAAGCAGGUUAAUAUUCCUGCGCCAGACAGGGUGGCAUUGAAGUGAGCGGGGACGGAGUAGGAUAGCUGAGCACCGUGAAUGGAUCGGUGUUUAAGCCUGUAGGUGUUUCCCGUAGGAGUCGAUAGACACAAACGCGGGGAAAUGUAGCCGAGAGGUGAUGAGGCGGUUCUUCGGAGCCGAAACUCAGUGAUUCCAGACUUCCAAGAAAAGCCGCGCACAGAGCCUCUUGUUUGACCGUACUGCAAACCGACUCAGGUGGACGGGAAGAAUAUUCCAAGGCGCGUGAGAGAACCCUGGUUAAGGAACUCGGCAAAUUGACACCGUAACUUCGGGAGAAGGUGUGCCUUUGCGCGUGAAGGAGAACAUCCGGAGCGUGCGGAGGUCGCAGAGAAUCGGGGGUUGUGACUGUUUACUAAAAACCUAGCACUCUGCGAAGUCGCAAGACGACGUAUAGGGUGUGAUGCCUGCCCGGUGCUGGAAGGUUAAGGGGAAUUGUCAGCGCAAGCGAAGCAAUGAACCGAAGCCCCAGUAAACGGCGGCCGUAACUAUAACGGUCCUAAGGUAGCGAAAUUCCUUGUCGGGUAAGUUCCGACCUGCACGAAUGGCAUAACAACAUCCCCGCUGUCUCGACCAGGGACUCAGCGAAAUUGUAUUGGGGGUGAAGAUACCCUCUACCCGUGGCAAGACGGAAAGACCCCAUGAACCUUUACUGCAACUUGGCAGUGAAUUUCGGGGCAAUCUGCGUAGGAUAGGUGGGAGACUUUGAUGUCGGGCUUCCGGGUUCGGCGGAGUCACCGUUGAAAUACCACCCUGAUUGCUCUGGGAUUCUAACCUGCGUCCGUCAUCCGGACGAGGGACACUGCCUGGUGGGCAGUUUGACUGGGGCGGUCGCCUCCAAAAACGUAACGGAGGCGUGCGAAGGUUCCCUCAGGUUGAUUGGAAACCAACCGUAGAGUGCAAACGCACAAGGGAGCUUAACUGUGAGACCGACAGGUCGAACAGGUGCGAAAGCAGGCGUUAGUGAUCCGGUGGUCCCGCAUGGAAGGGCCAUCGCUCAUCGGAUAAAAGGUACUCUGGGGAUAACAGGCUGAUCGCGCCUGAGAGUUCACAUCGGCGGCGCGGUUUGGCACCUCGAUGUCGGCCCAUCGCAUCCUGGGGCUGGAGCAGGUCCCAAGGGUUCGGCUGUUCGCCGAUUAAAGCGGUACGCGAGCUGGGUUUAAAACGUCGUGAGACAGUUUGGUCCCUAUCUGCC